rnacentral:piRNA from 6 species
GGUCGGGGUUUCGUACGUAGCAGAGCAG